rnacentral:rRNA from 1 species
AUGACGGGCUCGCACUCCCGGGGCGUCUCGCGCUCAUUUCGAGCGGAGGCGCACCCAGAGCGUACACGCUGGGACCCGAAAGAUGGUGAACUAUGCCUGGUCAGGACGAAGUCAGGGGAAACCCUGAUGGAGGUCCGUAGCGAUUCUGACGUGCAAAUCGAUCGUCGGAACUGGGUAUAGGGGCGAAAGACUAAUCGAACCAUCUAGUAGCUGGUUCCCUCCGAAGUUUCCCUCAGGAUAGCUGGCACUCGCUNAAAGCGAGUCUCAUCUGGUAAAGCGAAUGAUUAGAGGCCUCUUGGGGCCGAAACGACCUCAACCUAUUCUCAAACUUUAAAUGGGUGAGAUCUCUGGCUUGCUUGAAACUUGAAGCCACGAGAUUAAUAUCGUAAAA